CAUCUGGGCCUACCCGAGAUCCUCCUCCUCCCCUUACUCCGGCGGCGGCGGCGGCGGCGCUCCGCCUGCCGCUUCCCGGAGCAUUGGAGGAGGAGGCAUCAGGGCUCAGGCACGCCCUUCAGGCCAGCAUGCUGGCGGGUGCGGUUCCUCAGCCUGCCGCCGCUCUGCCGUCAACGCGGGGCCGGGGCGCCCCGCUGCUUCCCCCGCCACCACGCCUCGCCGUCGCUAGAGCGCCACCGCCACCCCGAGAGGUUUCACGACGCGCCGGCGAUUAAUUGGUUUCAGAUCCUUCCUUACGCCGCCCGCCGGCUCCCUCUUGCACGGUAGGCAUUGACGAAGGAUUGCCUGACCUACAGGAUUCUAUUACAUAUCUCCUUAAGAUGUUUAACCAAUGAAUGGAUCGUGGAAAGGAUUUUUCAAGCAGUUUAUAACAGCUUAAUGGAGAAAGAAUGGAUCAGUGUGUGUUGCUACGUAAUAUGAAUGCUGUAGAUAAACCGAAGCAAUUACAGAACAUACAAAUAAGGUACUAGGAAAUCCCGUGACACAUCAGAACCUUGUGAGAAUAUAUAUUUGUCCAAUGAGUCAUUAGGCAUGAAUUCAUAAAUUAAAGCA